AUGUUACUCCCUCCGUCUGGAAAUACUUGUUGGAGGAAUGGAUGUAUCUAGACAUAUUUUAGUUCUAGAUACAUCCAUUUUUAUGCAUUUCUCCGACAAGUAUUUCCGGACGGAGGGAGUAUAAU
rnacentral:pre_miRNA from 1 species